AUUGAACGCUGGCGGCAUGCUUUACACAUGCAAGUCGAACGGUAACAGGUCUUCGGAUGCUGACGAGUGGCGAACGGGUGAGUAAUACAUCGGAACGUGCCUAGUAGUGGGGGAUAACUACUCGAAAGAGUAGCUAAUACCGCAUGAGAUCUACGGAUGAAAGCAGGGGACCUUCGGGCCUUGUGCGACUAGAGCGGCUGAUGGCAGAUUAGGUAGUUGGUGGGGUAAAGGCUUACCAAGCCUGCGAUCUGUAGCUGGUCUGAGAGGACGACCAGCCACACUGGGACGGGGACACGGCCCAGACUCCUACGGGAGGCAGCAGUGGGGAAUUUUGGACAAUGGGCGAAAGCCUGCUCCAGAAAUGCCGCGUGCAGGAUGAAGGCCCUCGGUUUGUAAACUGCUUUUGUACGGAACGAAAAGUGUGGGGCUAAUAUCCCCGGGUCAUGACGGUACCGGAAGAAUAAGCACCGGCUAACUACGUG
rnacentral:rRNA from 1 species